rnacentral:rRNA from 1 species
GGUUAAGCGACUAAGCGUACACGGUGGAUGCCCUGGCAGUCAGAGGCGAUGAAGGACGUGCUAAUCUGCGAAAAGCGUCGGUAAGGUGAUAUGAACCGUUAUAACCGGCGAUGUCCGAAUGGGGAAACCCAGUGCAAUUCGUUGCACUAUCGUUAACUGAAUACAUAGGUUAACGAGGCGAACCGGGGGAACUGAAACAUCUAAGUACCCCGAGGAAAAGAAAUCAACCGAGAUUCCCCCAGUAGCGGCGAGCGAACGGGGAGCAGCCCAGAGUCUGAAUCAGCUUGUGUGUUAGUGGAACGGUCUGGAAAGUCCGACGGUACAGGGUGAUAGUCCCGUACACCAAAAUGCACAGGCUGUGAACUCGAAGAGUAGGGCGGGACACGUGGUAUCCUGUCUGAAUAUGGGGGGACCAUCCUCCAAGGCUAAAUACUCCUGACUGACCGAUAGUGAACCAGUACCGUGAGGGAAAGGCGAAAAGAACCCCGGCGAGGGGAGUGAAAAAGAACCUGAAACCGUGUACGUACAAGCAGUGGGAGCACCUUCGGGUGUGACUGCGUACCUUUUGUAUAAUGGGUCAGCGACUUAUAUUCUGUAGCAAGGUUAACCGUAUAGGGGAGCCGCAGGGAAACCGAGUCUUAACUGGGCGUUAAGUUGCAGGGUAUAGACCCGAAACCCGGUGAUCUAGCCAUGGGCAGGUUGAAGGUUGGGUAACACUAACUGGAGGACCGAACCGACUAAUGUUGAAAAAUUAGCGGAUGACUUGUGGCUGGGGGUGAAAGGCCAAUCAAACCGGGAGAUAGCUGGUUCUCCCCGAAAGCUAUUUAGGUAGCGCCUCGUGAACUCAUCUUCGGGGGUAGAGCACUGUUUCGGCUAGGGGGUCAUCCCGACUUACCAACCCGAUGCAAACUACGAAUACCGAAGAAUGUUAUCACGGGAGACACACGGCGGGUGCUAACGUCCGUCGUGAAGAGGGAAACAACCCAGACCGCCAGCUAAGGUCCCAAAGUCAUGGUUAAGUGGGAAACGAUGUGGGAAGGCACAGACAGCCAGGAUGUUGGCUUAGAAGCAGCCAUCAUUUAAAGAAAGCGUAAUAGCUCACUGGUCGAGUCGGCCUGCGCGGAAGAUGUAACGGGGCUAAACCAUGCACCGAAGCUGCGGCAGCGACACUAUGUGUUGUUGGGUAGGGGAGCGUUCUGUAAGCCUGCGAAGGUGUGCUGUGAGGCAUGCUGGAGGUAUCAGAAGUGCGAAUGCUGACAUAAGUAACGAUAAAGCGGGUGAAAAGCCCGCUCGCCGGAAGACCAAGGGUUCCUGUCCAACGUUAAUCGGGGCAGGGUGAGUCGACCCCUAAGGCGAGGCCGAAAGGCGUAGUCGAUGGGAAACAGGUUAAUAUUCCUGUACUUGGUGUUACUGCGAAGGGGGGACGGAGAAGGCUAUGUUAGCCGGGCGACGGUUGUCCCGGUUUAAGCAUGUAGGCUGAUUGUCCAGGCAAAUCCGGAUAAUCAAGGCUGAGGUGUGAUGACGAGGCACUACGGUGCUGAAGUAACAAAUGCCCUGCUUCCAGGAAAAGCCUCUAAGCAUCAGGUAACAUCAAAUCGUACCCCAAACCGACACAGGUGGUCAGGUAGAGAAUACCAAGGCGCUUGAGAGAACUCGGGUGAAGGAACUAGGCAAAAUGGUGCCGUAACUUCGGGAGAAGGCACGCUGGUGUGUAGGUGAAGUCCCUGCGGAUGGAGCUGAGACCAGUCGAAGAUACCAGCUGGCUGCAACUGUUUAUUAAAAACACAGCACUGUGCAAACACGAAAGUGGACGUAUACGGUGUGACGCCUGCCCGGUGCCGGAAGGUUAAUUGAUGGGGUUAUCCGUAAGGAGAAGCUCUUGAUCGAAGCCCCGGUAAACGGCGGCCGUAACUAUAACGGUCCUAAGGUAGCGAAAUUCCUUGUCGGGUAAGUUCCGACCUGCACGAAUGGCGUAAUGAUGGCCAGGCUGUCUCCACCCGAGACUCAGUGAAAUUGAACUCGCUGUGAAGAUGCAGUGUACCCGCGGCAAGACGGAAAGACCCCGUGAACCUUUACUAUAGCUUGACACUGAACAUUGAGCCUUGAUGUGUAGGAUAGGUGGGAGGCUUUGAAGCGUGGACGCCAGUCUGCGUGGAGCCAACCUUGAAAUACCACCCUUUAAUGUUUGAUGUUCUAACGUUGGCCCCUGACCGGGGUUGCGGACAGUGUCUGGUGGGUAGUUUGACUGGGGCGGUCUCCUCCCAAAGCGUAACGGAGGAGCACGAAGGUUAGCUAAUCCUGGUCGGACAUCAGGAGGUUAGUGCAAUGGCAUAAGCUAGCUUGACUGCGAGCGUGACGGCGCGAGCAGGUGCGAAAGCAGGUCAUAGUGAUCCGGUGGUUCUGAAUGGAAGGGCCAUCGCUCAACGGAUAAAAGGUACUCCGGGGAUAACAGGCUGAUACCGCCCAAGAGUUCAUAUCGACGGCGGUGUUUGGCACCUCGAUGUCGGCUCAUCACAUCCUGGGGCUGAAGUAGGUCCCAAGGGUAUGGCUGUUCGCCAUUUAAAGUGGUACGCGAGUGGACGCAUCACUGGUGUUCGGGUUGGCAUGCCAAUGGCACUGCCCGGUAGCUAAAUGCGGAAGAGAUAAGUGCUGAAAGCAUCUAAGCACGAAACUUGCCCCGAGAUGAGUUCUCCCUGAGACUUUAAGUCUCCUGAAGGAACGUUGAAGACGACGACGUUGAUAGGCCGGGUGUGUAAGCGCAGCGAUGCGUUGAGCUAACCGGUACUAAUGAACCGUGAGGCUUAACCUU